rnacentral:rRNA from 1 species
GGCUACACAUGCAGUCGAGGGGUAACAGAUCUUCGGAUGCUGACGACCGGCGAACGGGUGAGUAACACGUAUGCAACUUACCCAUAACUCGGGAAUAGCCCAAAGAAAUUUGGAUUAAUACCCAAUAAUACAGGCGUACCGCAUGGUAUUCUUCGUUAAAGAAUAAUCGGUUAUGGAUAGGCAUGCGUUCUAUUAGGUAGUUGGUGAGGUAACGGCUCACCAAGCCGACGAUGGAUAGGGGAACUGAGAGGUUGUCCCCCCACACUGGUACUGAGACACGGACCAGACUCCUACGGGAGGCAGCAGUGAGGAAUAUUGGUCAAUGGACGAAAGUCUGAACCAGCCAAAUCGCGUGAAGGAAGAAGGUAUUAUGUAUCGUAAACUUCUUUUGUAAGAGAGUAAAGUGCACUACGUGUAGUGUAUUGCAAGUACCUUACGAAUAAGCAUCGGCUAAUUCCGUGCCAGCAGCCGCGGUAAUACGGAAGAUGCAAGUGUUAUCCGGAUUUAUUGGGUUUAAAGGGUGCGUAGGUGGUCUAAUAAGUCAGUGGUGAAAUCUCUUUGCUUAACAAGGAAAUUGCCAUUGAAACUGUUAGACUUGAGAAUGGACGAGGUAGGCGGAAUUCGUAGUGUAGCGGUGAAAUGCAUAGAUAUUACGAAGAACUCCAAUAGUGUAGACUGCUUACCAGACCAUAUCUGACACUAAGGCACGAAAGUGUGGGUAUCAAACAGGAUUAGAUACCCUGGUAGUCCACACAGUAAACGAUGAAUACUAACUGUUUGCGAUAUACAGCAAGUGGUCGAGCGAAAGCGUUAAGUAUUCCACCUGGGAAGUAUGCCGGCACGGUGAAACUCAAAGGAUUGACGGGGGCCCGCACAGCGAGGACAUGUGGUUAUCGAUAUACGCGAGAACUACCGGGCUCGAC